GGGGCUAGCGUUGCUCGGAAUCACUGGGCGUAAAGGGUGCGUAGGCGGGUCUUUAAGUCAGGGGUGAAAUCCUGGAGCUCAACUCCAGAACUGCCUUUGAUACUGAGGAUCUUGAGUACGGGAGAGGUGAGUGGAACUGCGAGUGUAGAGGUGAAAUUCGUAGAUAUUCGCAAGAACACCAGUGGCGAAGGCGGCUCACUGGCCCGUUACUGACGCUGAGGCACGAAAGCGUGAGGAGCAAACAGG
rnacentral:rRNA from 1 species